GUGUAGUUUACAAUGAAAGGGGCCUCUGCAGGUUGUUGAGUCAAUCCCCAUCUCGGAGAGCCAGAUUCAACAUUAGAUACAAUCAAUAUCACCAUGCAUUUUUCUCAUGCCUAUGUUUGAAGGCUCAGAAAGAACCCCAAGUAUGCUGUGUCUGGACUUGGCAGCUCAAAACCAUGAAUCUUCAAAGGCCAAUGCUCACGCUGCUCACUUCUGAAGAAGACAGAACCAUGCUCAGAUGCAGAAAGCUUCGAAGAAGGGAACAAUGAAGCAGCAGCAUAGAGUGGAAGGGUGAAUCUGGUUUCUCGUGGACAGGCAAAAGAGGAGAAAUUCUACCUUGUGUAUAUGAGUUAUGGAGUGAACUGCAAAUAACGCUGUGAACAGGACAGUCAUUUUCAUGUAGUCACUCAUCUGAGGCUCUAUUCAGCUCUCACUAAAUCAAUGGAAAAAUUUUUGCUGACUUCACUGAACUGGAUGGCACCUCAGACACACGCAUCUUCUCUGUAAUGGGAGACAAUGCUUGCUUUCUUUUUCUCUGUAAAGACUGAGUAGCCUUGCCUACAUACGUAUGUGUAAACUGUGAAACACAUUGUUUUUUCUCCUCUUCUGCUUCAGCUGCAAAAGGCCUGCCACCAGUCGGUAUAUCCAUGUGUCUCUGUAUUCCUGGAAUGAGUUUGCAUUGAUUUCUUGUAAAUGUAGGAUUACCACCAUAAUGUGUAAUCACGUAUAAAAUUUGGACUUCCCACCACAUAGAUUUCAUCUUUCCUUCAUUUUGUAGAAUGUGUAAAUUAGUGCUUAGUAGUGAGCAGCAUUGAAAGGAAAAAUUUUAUUAAGACAU